AGAGAAUCCACCAUUUACUCUACUUCUCUGAAUAAUUAUAGAUUUGGCUCCAGAUUGCAAGGAAACUGGAGAAGAGUCAAGCAGGAACUCUGGUUUGUUGAUAGGUUAAUGGAUUUUCUAAUCCACUUCUUCCACGUCAUCCUGGUAUUGGAAGUUUCUUUACUAGUACUUGGAGGAUACUCGCUCUUGACAUCAUUCAUGUCCCAUCCAGGAAAGACUAUUGGUUUUAAAGGCUCUUCAGCUGAAUCUUCAUCAUCUGCAUCAUCGUCAUGUGCUUGUGGGAUGUCUGUCCUUUGCCUCAUUGUUGUCUCCUUCAGGAAGAGAACCACGGUUUAGGUGACUUUGCCUAGAAUCUUCAC